CAGAGCGAGGUGGGAGAAGGCCCAGCACAGGGACUUGUUCAUGAAUGUUUGUGUUGUUCCCAUUAUUGUGAGAAAGCUCCAGAGGAUUGGCAGAUUCCGGAGGGGUUGGAGGAAAAGCAGACUUGAUUUGGGACAGCUUCCCUUGAUCUUUUGCUUUUUGUUAGUCUCAUUACCGUUAUUGUUCAGUGUGACAGUCUUUAUUGACUAGCUUCUUAUAUGUUCAAAGAGUGGGGCUUCUGCCCUCAGGGAGCUUACAGUAUUUCUCAUUAGCUGCACUGUUUGUUAAUUAUUUGCUCUUGAUUCUACUAUUUAAAGAAAAAAAGACAAUUCUGCCUCAGAAAUUCCUUUCUAGAGCAGUCAGCCAAGGUUUCCCCCUACUGUGAGCCCCUGUGGGUUCUCAUUUGAAUUUUCUUGGGCUGUAUAGAGGGAAGGCUUUUAGAAGCUUGGUUGUGCUGGGCCCCAUGUCCUCACUUGGGGAGAUUUGACAUCAGGUCCUAUAGAGAUCUCAGGUUGGCAGUAUAGAUGGCAAAGUAUGCUCACAUGGUCACAGAAGUGCUUUUUUCUUUUUCUAGAUAUACGCCAGCGAUUAGGAAAAAGACCAUAUUCUCCAGAAAAGGCUUUCAGUAGUAAUCCAGUUGUUCGGAGAGAGCCCUUUUCUGAUGUACAUAGUAGGCUGGGUGUUCCCAGGCAGGAUGUUAAAGGCCUCUACUCUGAUACUCGAGAGAAGAAGUCAGGUAGUUUAUGGACUCGCUUAGGAUCUGCACCCAAGACCAAAGAAAAGAACAUGAAGAAAGGGGAUCACAGGGCGCCGGGCACAGAGGAAGAUGACUCGGAGCUGCAGAGGGCAUGGGGGGCUCUGAUUAAGGAGAAGGAACAGUCUCGCCAAAAGAAGAGCCGCUUAGAUAACUUGCCAUCUCUCCAGAUCGAAGUCAGUCGGGAAAGCAGCUCUGGCUCAGAGGCUGAGUCCUGAUGCCCUGGGGGCCGAGGCGGCCACCCUGAAACCUGACAGUCUUGCGUAGGGCGGGGCGCACAGUAGGACCCCCCCUCGGGAGUUGGCGCCCCUCCCCUCUUGCUCAUGCAGUCACCCUCCGCUCUUGCUACUUCAGCAAGACGUGUUAGGAAACGUGACCUGUUUUGAAGGGCAUCCAUCUAAUCUUUUUGCUGCAGAGUUACAAUUCUGGGCCCUCCAUUCUUUUCCCACCACCCCACAAGCUUUACCCAUUGAGGAAAAGGCAGCCCUCCAGAUUUUGUAGACAUUUUUUUCGUAAUAUUUUUAACAUUAUGUCUUUUAAGAGAAAAGUUUUACACAGUUCAUCCAAAGAGCAGAGAACUGAACUUCUCACUAUUGCCUUGGCCCUGACAGCUUUACCAGCACCCUUUUUCCAAGAAAAGUCAAUUCCCAGGUGCUUAUCGGACAGCCUUCGAGAGGAAAAGACUGGGGAAGCUGCCAGCUCACCCUUCCAGGAUUCUGGCGUGGGGCCUGACUCACAUGGACCUGACCUCAGAGGUGCAGCUGUGCCGCCCGGGUAGAUCAGAGCCGCAGCCCCGACCGCCCUUCGUUCCUCCCCGGGGAUCUCUGUCAGGAGCCUCGUUAGCAAUCAGCUUGAAGUGAGGAUCAAGUUCAGUGCUGUGGGGUUUUUAGGAACAAAAAACUGUGACUUCUGGAUUUGGGGUGGAUUUUCGUGCUAGGGGUGGGGUCAUGGGUUAAUGUUGAACAAUUUGUAAGUCUGUAUUAUGUUUAAAAAAUAUUGAUGAUUUGAAAGUUUAAAUUUUUAAUUUUUAUAUGUGAAAAUACUUCCUGUUGGCCUCCAGGGAAGCUCAAGUGGUGUCUUAUGUGCUGUUAAAUAUAUAUUAUAUACUUUGGAAGAAGGCAAAGAGAGGCGUCUCAUUUUUAGAGGAUCCUAACUGUAGAGUCUGUCUGUUAUACAUAGAGUUUAAGUUGUUCCACUGAAAUCAGGAAAACCUACCCCCUGAGAUGGGAAUCUGUUGUCUAUGAUCACUUCAGAAGUGAUGCACUGCUACAUAUUCUUUCUGUCUCCCACGUUCUGGCACCUGAGGACAUCUUCAAAACUGGCAAAUAAGAUAAUAGUUACAGAAAUUUUAGUUUGUUUAUUUCUAGUCUCCUUUCAGAUUAUUUUAACCUUGAAAAGGCCUUAGAUUCUUUGGUCUUCCUGUCUUGAUUUUUAUUUUAAAGUAUUUAAUGUUUGUAUUCCUCUGCAGGCUUAAAAAUAGUGUUUUAACUUCACUUCAGUAGAGCUUAGGAGUUAAAGAGAAUAAAGCCCUUGCUCCUUGUGUGAUGUCA